rnacentral:rRNA from 1 species
AGCGAACGCUGGCGGCAGGCCUAACACAUGCAAGUCGAACGAAGUCUUCGGACUUAGUGGCGGACGGGUGAGUAACACGUGGGAACGUACCUUUAGGUUCGGAACAACUCAGGGAAACUUGAGCUAAUACCGGAUAAGCCCUUCGGGGGAAAGAUUUAUCGCCUUUAGAGCGGCCCGCGUUAGAUUAGCUAGUUGGUGAGGUAAAGGCUCACCAAGGCUAUGAUCUAUAGCUGGUCUGAGAGGAUGAUCAGCCACACUGGGACUGAGACACGGCCCAGACUCCUACGGGAGGCAGCAGUGGGGAAUCUUGCGCAAUGGGCGAAAGCCUGACGCAGCCAUGCCGCGUGAACGAUGAAGGUCUUAGGAUUGUAAAAUUCUUUUACCAGGGACGAUAAUGACGGUACCUGGAGAAAAAGCCCCGGCUAACUUCGUGCCAGCAGCCGCAGUAA